rnacentral:rRNA from 1 species
GACGAACGCUGGCGGCGUGCUUAACACAUGCAAGUCGAACGGAAAGGCCCUGCAUUUGUGGGGUGCUCGAGUGGCGAACGGGUGAGUAACACGUGAGUAACCUGCCCUUGACUUUGGGAUAACUUCAGGAAACUGGGGCUAAUACCGGAUAGGAGCUCCUGCUGCAUGGUGGGGGUUGGAAAGUUUCGGCGGUUGGGGAUGGACUCGCGGCUUAUCAGCUUGUUGGUGGGGUAGUGGCUUACCAAGGCUUUGACGGGUAGCCGGCCUGGGAGGGUGACCGGCCACAUUGGGCCUGAGAUACGGCCCAGACUCCUACGUGGGGCAGCAGUGGGGAAUAUUGCACAAUGGGCGGAAGCCUGAUGCAGCAACGCCGCGUGCGGGAUGACGGCCUUCGGGUUGUAAACCGCUUUCGCCUGUGACGAAGCGUGAGUGACGGUAAUGGGUAAAGAAGCACCGGCUAACUACGUG